rnacentral:rRNA from 1 species
UCCCUACGGGGUGCAGCAGUCGCGAAAACUUCACAAUGGGGGAAACCCCGAUGAGGGAAUUCCAAGUGUCAGCACAUUGUGUUGACUGUUCCCCAGUCUAAAAAACUGGAGAAGUAAGGGCCGGGUAAGACGGGUGCCAGCCGCCGCGGUAAUACCCGCGGCCCGAGUGGUGGUCGAUAUUAUUGAGCCUAAAACGUUCGUAGCCGGUCUUGUAAAUCCUUGGGGAAAUCGACCAGCUUAACUGUUCGAAGUCCGGGGAGACUGCAAGACUUGGGAUCGGGAGAGGUCAGAGGUACUUCUGGGGUAGGGGUAAAAUCCUGUAAUCCUAGAAGGACCACCGGUGGCGAAGGCGUCUGACUAGAACGAAUUCGACGGUGAGGAACGAAGCCCUGGGGCGCAAACGGGAUUAGAUACCCCGGUAGUCCAGGGUGUAAACGCUGCGGGCUUGGUGUUGGGGGUCCUUAGUGGGCGCCCAGUGCCGGAGAGAAGUUGUUAAGCCUGCUGCUUGGGGAGUACGUUCGCAAGGAUGAAACUUAAAGGAAUUGGCGGGGGAGCACCGCAACGGGAGGAGCGUGCGGUUCAAUUGGAUUCAACGCCGGACAACUCACCAGGAACGACGAUUACAUGAAGGCCAGGCUGAUGACCUUG